UUGAAAUGCUCCAUCUUUUGAAUGUCAACUACAAUUCAUUAAUGGAAACACAAAUAAUAAUGAAAGAAAAUUUGUAGGAUGCCACUUCAAAUUAUUGUAUUCAUUAUUUGACAGGAAAAUGAUUUUUCUAUACUCAUUUGAAGAGUAGUAGUAUAGGAGCUAGUAACGUUUUUGAGAGAGAAUUCCAGGUCAGUUGAUUUUUUGAUAUGUUGAGUAAGAAACUCUUUCGGUUAGAGUCUGGGCUACCUGGCUAGCAGUAGCGUUUGCGUUUGUUAAUGCGUAUCCUACUUGUACAAGUAAUAAUCCUGAAUUUUUUAAUAAUUAUUGAACGCGUAAUUUUUAAAGUUUUGAAUUUAGAUAGGUCUCACAGACACACAUUUUUUAUUGCCAGGCAUUUUCAGUGUGCGAAUUUUUUAUUGCUUAGAAUCAAAAAUUCAAAGCAUUUCAGAAUGUCCGUAUUUUUUAUAUUGUAUUCUUUGAAGAUAAAAUAGUCUAAAGAUAAUUUGCCAAAAAAAUUAAAAACUCAUGUAAAGUAUUGCCCUAUGAUGCUAGUAGUCAAAGAGAAAGAGAGAGAGUUGUAGAAUAUGAUCAAGAAUGAGACAGAAAAUAAUUUCAAAAUUACGUUACUUACAUUCCUUCUAUUCAGAACAAAUUUAUAUAUAAGAAAUUCAAACAUUGGAACAGAAAUAAAAUUGGAAUAAAGUUCAGUUAGAGAGAAGAAAAUUGAAAAAUGCGUCAUUAACGUUUUAAAAUUUAUUGAAUUUAUUGAAAAUAAAAUUUGAUUUAUAAGGCCUAACUUUACCUUUUCUAAAAAAUGCUGGCGUGUACUUACAUCCAGUAAGCACCUGGAAACAUGGUAUAGCUUUCUAUAAAGAGACACCAAGGAUUCGGUACAGUUCAUUUACGUUGAUGUAUCGCUGAUGAUUGCCUACACCCAUAUUUUUCCAAAUUUUUGAAAAUGAAAAUGAAAAUGAAAAAGCGUUUAAAUGAUCCAUAUUUCCCAGAAGUAUAAUUUAAAUAUCAGAGUCUGAACAGCAUAUAACAAAUUCUGCGUCUAAAUCAAUUUGACAAAUCGAUGGUUUUCUGACGCACGUCGUAUCUCAAAAACUACUACUUUUCAGGAAUGACAAAAAACAUUUUAUAAUGAAACUAGCUGACCCGGCCACGCGUUGCUGUGGCUGAAGUUUUUGUUAUAUUACAUUAUAGUAAACAAUCUAAGAGGAACGAUAAAAGAACAUCAGACACGGAGUCCACUAUGCUUAUUUACACAGAUGGUAUUUGAAAAAAAAAAAUGGUGAUCUCCUUAUUUGACUUUCUACUACUAUAACCCUUUAGUACAAUGAAAUUAUUUACGAACAAAGACGAAAAUGUUGAUGGUGGUAUACAAAUUCACUGGAUUGAGAUUUGAAGGGGAAACAUGGCGAAAGCUAAACGAAUUGGAAACUGUAGCCUUUUGAAGGGUAUGGUAGAAUCUGAUGGUAUCAUCGGAAUACGUGGCAGCAAAACCACUUUUCCUUUAAACUUCCCAGCCAAAAUGGUUGCUUCAAGAAUGUUACCGGUGAUCUUUUUGAUGACCAAACGCGUACCGUUACAUAAUUGAGGCGGAUUCAAAUUACGGAGGAGAAUAAUAGGGGAACCAAUCUUUAAUCGAAGAUUAUGUGGUGGCAUUCCAGGUAUAUCUAAUGAAUUUAAAAAUUCAAUCGGAAAAUUGCACAUUGAAAUAAUAAGUGCUAAAUAAUAGAGAUUAAAUAAAAACAAUAAAAAAAAAUAUUUGUACAACUAUUGAAAAAGUGUAGGAAAUUGUGUAUCAUUUUUUCAUUGACAUUUUAAUUAAAUUUUAUAAUUAUGUGAUAAUACUUACAUACAUAUAUUCAAAUUAAAUUAUAAAGUUUUGAUCAAUGAAGCACAAAUAAGUAAAAAGCAGGAUUAAUUUCACUGUAUUAUCUUCAUUAUAAUAUGAAUUCAAUUAACAUUUCAGUCUAAGUAACACGUGGCCGGCUAUGCUAACACCAAAAAUUUAAAAAGUGGAAAUAAUUGAAUUAUGCGGUAUUUCGUUCACUACAAAAUAAAUUUAAUUAAUUUUAUAGCGUCAACAACACGUGGUAAUUAUGCUGUGAAAAUGUAGCUUAUAUGACACGUUCGUAGAUUUACCAUAGCAGCGCCAUCUAUUGAUUACUUACUCAACCCAGUCGAAAGGUAUCGACAUCUGUUAGAAUCAUUUGGAGUUAACAGAUAAUUUUGACUGUCAAAUAAUAACAGACGAAUAAUUAGCAAUAAAUUAAAAUUGCGACUAUAAUUUGAGAUUUAAACUAUCCUAUCUCUCAAGUUGGAUCGAACUGCACAUGGUGUGCAAAUUUUAUUAUAAUCGGUUAAGUGGUUUAGGAGUCCAUUGAGGACAAACAUUGUGACACGAGAUUUAUAUAUAUUAAGAUUGAAAAUUUUUUUAAACAAUUUUUUUUAUUAAUUUAAAAAAUAUUCACUCUUAAUAAAUUUUUGAGAUAAGUUUAGCAUUUAAAACAUUUAAUCAUUAUUUUUUCUUUUAUUUUCUGAGAUACGUGUUUGCUGCAGAGGAAAAAACGUAACAUACGUGAUUGCGUAGUAAUCUUUACAAAUAUAAGUACAUGGAAAAGUUUUGUUAAUUAUUUUAUUUUGCGAACAAAUUAACUUUUUAAAUCAUUCUUAAUCGAAUAAAAAUGUUAUUGUUUAACUUUUAAAUAAUAAGAGUUCUUAAUUACUACAAUAUAUUACUCUUUUAAAUCUAGAUAAAUUUGUUGUCUUAAUUCUAGUAUUAGUAUUAAUAUCACAUAGUUUCAUUAAUACUUUUAAUCACUUUCAUUGGCUUUUCGAAUAGAAUUAUAAAAUAAAAUAAUCAUCAAAUAUUAUUUUUUUUCAUUGCCUACAGACAAUACUUGCAGAUUUAAAAAAAUAUCAUUUUUAAUUUUCAUUAUUCACGUAUCUUAAAUUUCCAUAAAAAGAGUGAUAGUCCUUAGGUAUUAAUUGUUUGAGAGAUAAUAAGUCCAUGUAUUUUUGUUUAGUUAAUGGGAUUUCUUUAGAAUAUAAAGCCUUAAUAUCAGUAUUGACAGAAAUUUUUUUGUUCAAACGUUGUGGAAGAUCCUCCCAUUCGUUAUCAAAGGAUAACUUAAACAUUAUCUUGUCUUGACUAUAUUUUAAUCCUCUCAACUGUAAUACUGUUGGUGAACCAGUUUUAUUUCCAGGCCGAAUUGAUUUGUAAAAUUUUAAAUCAGAGUAAUUUUUCAAAAAUUUAUAAUCAAGAUAUUUAACUUUGUACGGUUUUUUCAUCCUAGACUCUUCAAUAAUUUUUACAAAGUUACACGGUGCAUACAAUUCGCGAUCUUUUUUACGUCUUUCUAUUGCUGCAUGAACCGAAUCACAUUCCAUCUGUGUGUGACCUUUAACUAAAUAUUUUUGACAUAUUUCAAUAUUAUUUUUUGCAGCGAAUUGAUAUAAAGCGUUAGCUAUAGUGACAUUGCGGUUCUGGGCACUGCAACCAUCACUGUAAAAUACAAUCGGCGUAUCAAGCUCAACUUCGGUUUGUAAAAAAUCAAGAAGACAAGACGCAAAAACGUUACCAUCCAUGCCACCUUCACCUUCGUGCCAUACAUAACACAAUACAUCUCCAUUAGCUAUAUUAUACACUGUAAAUUGAUGACACUUUAAUUUCUGUUUAAAGUAAAGAGCACCUGCUGGUAAAUGUGGUAUCAUUUGCACAGCCUGGACAUCUACAGUGAAUGCCUUGAUCUCUCCAGCAAUAGCCUUUGUUUUAUCUUGUUCUUUUUCAUCCCGAGCACGGUCUUUUUCUUUCACAUGAUUAUUGUACUCUUCUAUAGAUAUAUUUUUAUUUUUAAAAGCAAAACAAGUAUCGCAGAAGUCUUUACGCGGUUGAAAAAUGUCAAUAUUCAUAGAUUGCAUUUUUUUAAGUAAAAAUCCAUAGCUAGGCACUUCAUUGUCUGGAAUAUUCAGCUCUUUCAUAGAUUUUGAAAAAUCCCGGUAUACAUCUUGAGCAGACUUGUAUAAAUUAUCUAAAUAUAAUUUUGAAGUAUCUUUUCGGCAGUAGUGUGACUCCAUCUUGGGCAACUUAUUUAAAAAAUUCUCAACAUGUGAUAGCUUUCCUUUGACUUCUGUAGAAUUUUUUCUAGUGUUUUUGAAUUUUGUUUUUUUCAAUAAACCGCAAUCAUCACUUUUCUUUACCCAGUUUAGAACUUGGGAUUCUCCUAAAGUCAAUGUACUCAAGAACAUUUUUUUA